CGGGCAGCGGCUGUAGCCACCUGGAGAGGGAUGUGGCGCCUUCACCGCCCACCUGAGGGGGAGAUGGAGAGAAAUAAAAGGGAGUGAAGAAGAAAGACAAGUAGUAAAAGAAGUCCAAGAAAAAAUGGAUGGAGAAUGAGAGGACUGUCUACUCGUCCUGGAAACUGAAGAAAGGAUUCUCUUCUGCAAACCACUCCUGCUGUAUCGGUCCUUAUUCUGUUUGCACAGUAAUUAGUCUUUGCACAGGGAAACCUCCUUGGCCUUUAUAUUCAAGAGGAACAUAGCCACCAAGAGGAACAGUGUAUCUGGAAAAAAAACUAGUCCAUUAUACUGUGUUACUGAACUAGAUCAGUUAAAGCUAACUUAUUAUACGAUAACACCAGAGUACUAAGAGAAAAAAUGGAUAAUUGUGUGCCUACCAUAUGGUUGCUUUGAGUAAUUACUAGCAAAUUAGUAAUAUAAAAGCACUUGAAAAAAAUGCAGUAACACAGAAGUUAAAUUAUAACUAAGAUUUUGACUACUGUAUAUACCUGUGUAACCACCACUGUGCUCUAGGUAUAGAACACUUCCACCAAUCUAAAAAGAUCUCCCUGACCUUUUGGAACAGCUCCCUGUCUUCCCAAGGCGACCAUGUGGCAGGCAUAGUAACUCUCUGAAAGAUGUCCUUGUCCGCAUGCCCACAACCUGUAAAUAUGAACAUACCUGUGACUGUUACAUAGCAAAAGGGACUUUGAGAUAGGAGAUCAUUUUGAUUACCUGGGUGGGCCCAAUGUAACCACAAGAGUCCUUAAAAAUAGAAGAGGAAGACAGAAGAGUGGGUCAGAGAAAGAUGCUACAGUGAAAAAAGAGGCAGGAGAGAUCUGAAGUGUAAGCAGCACAUGACCUACUCUUGCUGGCUUUGAGGAUGGAGGAAGGGGGUGGGCAAAAAAUAUAGGUGGUCUCUAGAAUCUGGGAACACCAGCAAAUAAACAGAGACCUCAAUCACAACCACAGGAGUUCAGCCAGCAACUUGAAAUGAACAAGGUAAUGGAUUCUGAGAGCCUCCAGAAAGAAAUGCAGCCUGCUGGCAACUUGAUUUUAGCCCAGUAGGUCCCAUCCUCAGCUUCUGACUGCGGAAGUGUAAGAUAAGUUUGUGUUAAGUCAUCUUCUGUUUUUGGACUUUAUAUGCGUGGAACCAUAUAGACCUCUUUUGUGCUGUGCUUAGUCACCCAGUUGUGUCUGACUCUUUGCGACCCCAAGGACUGUAGCCCACCAGGCUGCUCUAUCCCUGGGGAUUCUCCAGGCAAGAAUACUGGAGUGGGC